UUCGUAGGCGGUGUGGCAAGUUGGGAGUGAAAUCUCUGGGCUUAACCCAGAGGCUGCUUCCAAAACUGCUGUGCUUGAGUGUGGGAGAGGCGCGUGGAAUUGCAGGUGUAGCGGUGAAAUGCGUAGAUAUCUGCAGGAACACCCGUGGCGAAAGCGGCGCGCUGGACCACUACUGACGCUGAGGAACGAAGCUAGGGGAGCAAACAGGAUUAGAUACCCUGGUAGUCCUAGCCCUAAACGAUCGGGACUUGGGGUGCCGCACGUUCGUGCGUCGUCCCGGAGCUAACGCGUUAAGUCCCGCGCCUGGGGAGUACGGUCGCAAGACUGAA
rnacentral:rRNA from 1 species